rnacentral:rRNA from 1 species
UACGUAGGGGGCAAGCGUUGUCCGGAUUUAUUGGGCGUAAAGAGCGUGUAGGCGGCCAUGCAGGUCCGCUGUGAAAACUCGAGGCUCAACCUCGAGACGUCGGUGGAAACCGCAUGGCUAGAGUCCGGAAGAGGAGAGUGGAAUUCCCGGUGUAGCGGUGAAAUGCGCAGAUAUCGGGAAGAACACCCGUGGCGAAGGCGGCUCUCUGGGACGGUACUGACGCUGAGACGCGAAAGCGUGGUGAGCGAACAGG